CGUAGUUAAUUAAUAGGGGCAAUUGCUCAUAUACCCUUGAAAAGUUUCCGACUUUCUGAUUUACCUCCCUUAGAAGGCUAAUGUUAAAAAUACCGUUUUUACGUUCCAACCUAUUUCAAAUAUAACCCUAGAGUUAAAAUCUGUUAAUGAACUCUGUUAUCGAUAUAAUAUUACUAUUUUACCAUUUCAAUUAUGCCCUUCCACCAUCACUGACUUUUCUCAUUUGUCCUUAAGUCAGGGGCGCAAAAAGUAUUUUGACUUUUGGUCGUUUCAAAUAUACCCCUCUACCGUCACCAACAUUUCUUAUUUGCCCUUAAGUUAAGGACAAAAUUGGCAUUUUAAUUUUUUUUAACUGUGUUAGAUAUUUAACUCACGUUUAACCCAAGUUAACUUAAUGGGUGGAAACCAUACUGCGGGUAUUUUAGAAUAACGGAGGAACAUAUAAGGGGUAUAUUUGAAAGAAAAAAAAAGUAAGAGUAAAUGAGAUAUUUUCGAAGUUUGAGGGGUAUAUAAGCAAUAUCCCUAAUUAAUAAUA
rnacentral:lncRNA from 1 species